CCUACGGGUGGCAGCAGUGGGGAAUAUUGCACAAUGGGCGCAAGCCUGAUGCAGCCAUGCCGCGUGUGUGAAGAAGGCCUUCGGGUUGUAAAGCACUUUCAGCGGGGAGGAAGGCGGUGGGGUUAAUAACCUCAUCGAUUGACGUUACCCGCCGAAGAAGCACCGGCUAACUCCGUGCCAGCAGCCGCGGUAAUACGGAGGGUGCAAGCGUUAAUCGGAAUUACUGGGCGUAAAGCGCACGCAGGCGGUCUGUCAAGUCGGAUGUGAAAUCCCCGGGCUCAACCUGGGAACUGCAUUCGAAACUGGCAGGCUAGAGUCUUGUAGAGGGGGGUAGAAUUCCAGGUGUAGCGGUGAAAUGCGUAGAGAUCUGGAGGAAUACCGGUGGCGAAGGCGGCCCCCUGGACAAAGACUGACGCUCAGGUGCGAAAGCGUGGGGAGCAAACAGGAUUAGAUACCCGUGUAGUC
rnacentral:rRNA from 1 species